rnacentral:rRNA from 1 species
UACGUAGGGUGCAAGCGUUGUCCGGAAUUACUGGGCGUAAAGCGCACGUAGGCGGCUUUGUAAGUAAGAGGUGAAAGCCCAGAGCUCAACUCUGGAAUUGCCUUUUAGACUGCAUCGCUUGAAUCAUGGAGAGGUCAGUGGAAUUCCGAGUGUAGAGGUGAAAUGCGCAGAUAUCGGGAAGAACACCCGUGGCGAAGGCGGCUCUCUGGGACGGUACUGACGCUGAGACGCGAAAGCGUGGGGAGCGAACAGG